rnacentral:tRNA from 1 species
CGGGAAAUAGCUCCGUUGGUAGAGCACGACCCUUGCCAAGGUCGGGGUCGCGAGUUCGAGUCUCGUUUUCCCGCUCCA